GGGCCCGUAGCUCAGUUGGUAGAGCACCAGACUCUUAAUCUGGGUGUCUGGGGUUCAAUUCCCCACGGGCUCG
rnacentral:tRNA from 1 species